CUCCACGCACGCGCCUUUCCUCCUAGCUAGCACCCCUUCUCCAAGCUCCCAUUGCCCCAUCCUAAUUGCAGCACCCCUGUGCGCGCGCGCCUUAGAAAUCGCAGGCCUCCUGCAUUCUCUUCUUCCUCACUCUUUCCGGCCUAUGGCCGGUCUGGAGCACUUCACCAUCGCAUUCCAGGACGACUCCCCCUCACAGGAGGCCUUGACCUUCACAGGAUCGCGGCACACACCUGCGCAGACCCAGCGACUUUGGAGUUCCCGCGUCUCUUCCCCAUGUCUGCAGUCGGAGGGCGCGGGUGGGCUCCUGGUCGCGGUCGAGCGCUCGUUUUCCGGGCGACUUGGCUGAGGGGCGAGAUGGUCCCUUGGAGAGAACAGCCACGGGCCCUGGGCCGAGGGGCUCCAAACAGCAGUCGCUAGGCUGUUUUGGUCGUCGGGCUUUAUCAGUAAACAAUUCGAGCCCAUGGUUCGAAUGAUUAUUUAAUUAAAUUCCUCAGUAAUAGAUCCAGUGCAUUGUGAAAAUAUGCGAAAUAAAAUUUAAAUGAUGAGAUAAAA
rnacentral:lncRNA from 1 species